GAUGAAGAACGUAGCGAAAUGCGAUAAGUAAUGUGAAUUGCAGAAUUCAGUGAAUCAUCGAAUCUUUGAACGCACCUUGCACUCCUUGGUAUUCCGAGGAGUACGCCUGUUCGAGUGUUAUGAAGCUCUCAAAACGCAAUUGGCUUAAAACCUGAUUGUUGUUUUGGAUUUGAACUUUGCCGUGUUAUAACGGCUGGUUUUAAAAGUAUUAGCUGGUACUAGAACGAAUUGGUUCUACUCAACGUGAUAAUUAUCUGAUCGUUGAGGACAUUCCUUUCACGAGGAAUGGCCAUAGUAAAUUCAAUGGACUGCUUCUAAUCUGGCUUUAAUUCUUUAUUGGAUUAACCACUUUUCAAAUCUGACCUCGAAUCAGGUGGGACUACCCGCUGAACUUAAGCAUAUCAAUAAGCGGAAGA
rnacentral:misc_RNA from 1 species